rnacentral:rRNA from 1 species
UCUCUGCCCAAUGAUUAUAAAUUAAAUGCGCCGCAGUAUUUUGACUGUGCAAAGGUAGCAUAAUCAAUAGUUUUUUAAUUGAGAACUGGUAUGAAAGAGUUGAUAAAAUAUAUACUUUAUUUAAUUAAAAUUUUAAAUUUAAAAUUUUAGUAAAAAUGCUAAAAUAAAUUUAUGGGACGAGAAGACCCUUUAGAAUUUAAUAUUUUAUUAUUAAAAAUUUUUAUUUUUUAUUUUUUAAAAUAUAAAAUAUUUUAUUGGGAGGAUAAUUAAAUUAAUUUAACUUUAAUAAUAUAAAAGUAAACAAUAAUUAUUGAAAUAAAGAUUUUAUUUAAUUAAUUAAUAGAUUAAAUUACCUAAGGGAUAACAGCGUAAUAUUUUUGGAGAGUUCAUAUUGAUAAAAAUGUUUGCGACCUCGAUGUUGAAUUAAAAUAAAAUUUAAAUGUAGGUGUUUAAAGUUUAAGUCUGUCGACUUUUAAAAUUCUACAUGAUUUGAGUUCAAAUC